AAUGGGUUGAAAAAUCAUGUACACUCUUCUACAUGUUCACAUAAUCAUCAAGGCCACACUCAUAGCGGCCAUAUCCCCGUAGGGUUAGGAAAUUUUGGACUACCCAAUCAUGGGAAUCAUGAUCAGGACCACACUGCUUAGAGCAACCUCAAUCAGGAAUAACCCUUGGAGGAUUGUAUCGAUGUAGUUGAUAUGGUGGCUGACAGUCGCAGCUUGGGUUCCCACUAAUUAAAGCGCAUGCUUCAGUACACGACUUUGAGCAACUCAGAUGAAUCGAGCACUGCAGUUGUGUCUGCUGCUGCACCUUUUGUACAAGUAAUCAAUGUUUGCCUCUGGUGUAAUUAUUUUUGUUAGGUCUCGUAAUCUGUAUGAUUGAUGCCCCGGAACUUCAAUAGAACUAGUCAUCUUCACCAAAGUGAUGUCUUAUUGUAAUACCUCAUCACAUAGCAGGAUGUUACUGCAAUAGAAGGUAGUUUCGUUGUUGCUGUUGUGUCUAUUAUUAUCAUGCAUUCUCUUUAAUGCCCCGCCU
rnacentral:lncRNA from 1 species